GCCUCGGUGGUGUAAUGGUAGCCCGAGUCCCCAGUAUGGAUGAAACGCCAGUUCGACUCUUGUCUGAGGCC